AUGCGACCGAGGGAGACAAAAUGCGAAGAACACACGGUGGCGGCCGGUCAUCCUCACGACGGUGCCUCCGUGGAUUUUUUAGAUCACAAUUUUUUUACAUCAGAAUGUUCAGAUUCUCUCCUUCAUCUCAAAUCUGAGGUCCAUUUUCUCAAAAGGUCAAGCAAUAAGAGUAGAUCUACAAAAGUCUAUAUGAAAUUCUAG